CUCAAAUGGUUCAUCAGUUUAGGACAAAAAUCAUUGAAUUUUACAUUCUUGGGGUCAGUAACCUGACCUCUAAAUGUUUGGGAAACCAUGCAAAAGAUCGCAAGCUCUCUGCAUGACCCAACACCAUCGAUGUUUGAGUGAUUUAACUGCUCAAUUUUUAAAUCAGUCAAGAUUUUAUGAGCUGGGUCUUCUUCACGCAACAGAGAACGAGGUAAAUUGAGUCGACUCGUAACAUGGUAAGGCAUUUCGUCUUUCCCCUUCUUCUCUGUGUGUGUGAGGAAAUCUGGCCACGGAUCCUGACUGAGUGGCAUACCAUGGCUGUGCAGUUUCCAAAAUCAGACAAGGAUCCAUCUGAUUUUGUGACUCAGCCUGUCAUGAUAUGCGUUUAUCUUCCUCCGAAACAAAGGAUUGGAAUGGACAGGUUUGUAGUGUAAAUCACAUCACAUCACUUGUAGAUGGUGAAGCAUUUGUUUAAAUUGGAGUCAAGCAUUUUCAGGUGUCUGCUUUGUCAAUACUCUGGUGCCACGUCUUGCUAAACACAUGAGAAGCUCUGAAUUAUGAAACUGCUGCCUCUUGCAGAUGUUACAACAGCAAUGGCUGUUGAAAGGCUGCAUGGAGAGAAAAUGAGAUUUGAGGACAGGAAAGUGGAAUUGAUUUCAUGCUUGGCAAAAUGAGGGUUUUAGCAGAGGACCUUUUUGUGGCAAAGCUACGGAAUCGGAAGGAACGUUUGUCUGGGCAACUGGGAGAUUUAUAGUUUUUCAUGCAGCUAACCAAGACAUCGGGGUUAGCAUCAUCCAAAUGGCUGGCAAAGAUUGCUUGUAACUGUCAGUGUAGAACAGGAAAGGCAGGUAUAGGUUAGGGAGGGCAUCCAUCGGUGAGCUCUGACUGGAUGUGAGGACCUGUCACACUUGACCAGAGAUGAAGGCUGCAGCACGUUCCUGGAUCAGAGGACUCCAUGUUGGACACCACGACCUGGAGAAGUCCCGUCCUGCGGUGAUGACCUCGCCCAAGAUGAACUGACCCUUCUGCGACGAGGACUUUGCCCAAGAUGAACCGACGCUUCUAUGAUGACGCAUCUUUUCUACGGGAUGUCUUCAGAUGUUGGACCUUGCCAAACUGUACACACCCUCAAUGGCUGCAACGUCACUCUGCCCAACAGGACAUGGUCACCGAGAUUUUCUUUUUUUUAAAUGGACUUUAACCCCUCCCAUCCCCACUGACCUAUUAAUUUAAUAUUAAUGCUGACUUGUCUCACUCUGCCAAGUUUAUUUCCCUCUAAAGGAGUUGAACUUUUUUGUGUUCAUAGUCUUUUUGCGCGUCAUGAUGGGAGGCCUCCCAGCAGGGGAUUUUUAUCUUCCCCUGCAAAACUAUGCGUUACUCGCCUUAGGGAUGCAGGGCUAUCCUGCAGGGCUAUCCUGCAUAGUUUAUUUCAUAAAGGGGAUUGUAGGUUGCCGGUUCAGAGUGCGUUUAUUUUCUUUAGGAGGACACAAACCUGGCAGAGAGACAACUCAGAUUAUUUAAGUGAAAGUUGGGCCAAAUGUUCAAACUUUUUAUAUUUCGAUACGACAACUUGAAAUAAAACCUGAAAAAGCUGAAUUCCAGGAGUCAUGAUGUUUAGAAAAUCAGACAGAAUUUGGCUUCAUGUUAAAGACUGUUGUGCAAGUACCCUCUUGUAGCAGGAGUGAGUAGCUGCAGCUUUUUCAUUUAGUUUUCGUUAUUUGAUUUGUUUCUUGGAUUGACUUGCUGUCUGGAGCUUUGUGGUUAACCCUGAUCAUGUAAACGUGUAAACACAAAUUGCCUCUUAUUUGCGAAGCUGGCAGCUGGUUAAAAUUAUAGGAAUUCAUGGCUUGCCCAAAGUAAGAUUUUUGAUAGAGCAUAGGGUUAACACCUCACCAUACACUAGCUAUUUCGGCGAACAAGUGUCUGUAGUCCAUGUUGGACACCACGACCGUCCUGGAUGGCUGCGGUGAUGACCUCGUCCAAGAUGAACCGACCCAAAAACUUGUAUUU